rnacentral:lncRNA from 1 species
GCGUUUCUCGUUAAAAACAUCUGCAGAGCUCAAGAAGCAUUCUGUCCCUUUUUUUAAAAAAAAAUAUAUGCAAAAAUUUAGAAAGCAUCAAAGGUUCAAGCUCAAGACCUCAGUACGAGAGAUUUCUUCAUGUACAAGCUAACCAGCAGAAACGCAAGUUUUUUUGGUUGAUCAAAUGCAGGCCUCUUCUACGUUGUCUCUCCCAUCCUGGAGCGAAGGCAAAAGAAAGGCACUGGGCACGCCGAGCCACGCGGCCAGCAACUUGGCGCGGUAGUCGUCCUUGGCACGGCCACUAGCAUCUACACUUCUUCAUGCUCUUGCCGGCUACGCCUAAGUAGAGAAGAGGUUUCAAGGGCAUUUUCAUAGCAAGCAGCUCCUCCAGAAGCCAGCAAGUGGCUUCCACCAGAGUGGAGAUGUGCGGUUGGUGGGACAGACAUGUGGUGUACACUCAUUUCUUUUGUAACUCAAACUCGUGCAGCUUUGCACCUUGGUUUCCUCACUCAGAGUCCUCUCCUCCUGACAUCUCCCAAGCCUAUCUGAUCUACUGGUUGCCUUCUGUAUACAAAUGUGUGGCACUCUCUAUUUAGCUCAUUCGUGUGCAAACUACACACUUACAUAUAUAUAGCUAUGACCCUCAGGAAGGAAGAGAUAUCAGAGUGUUGGCAAAUAAAUUGGCGUUAUAGUGGCUAUGGGUUAGUGCAUAUGGUGCGCGUGGUUGGCUGCAUUUACACAUCAUUAAUUCUAGAUUGUUUGGUGCUCUAUGAGCUGCAAUGCUGAAUGAGAUGAAUGUGAGUAAGAUUAGCCCAUUUUCUAUACCCAAGCCUUGUUUUAUUUAUCUCAAAAUGACAUGAAUAUCCGCUCAAGCUCAACCAAAAGGGACCGAUAUUAAUCAAGCAUAGUCAUCACUCCAAUUGCAUAGUCAUCACUAAGAAAAUUCACACAAGAGUGACAGUUCUGGCUUCAGAAGAAAGGAUGUGCACCUCACAAACUGCUCUGUCUUGCAGUAUAUUUAGAUGGUUCAAUGUAGAUCAAAUGGUCAAAUGGUUAGUUACGGAUAAGCAGGAUCUGUGUCACCUUAUUCGGACAACUUCUCUUGGCUUAACCAAUGUUUAACUAACGGGUGAUGCUCAACGAGCUCACGCCAUAAUCCAGGCAUCUCAGUCCAAUUCAAUGCUGAGCAAUCAACAUAUUCUUUGAGAAGCUUCAUCAACUUAGUAUUAUAAUCGGCUUCCAAGUUUUGAUUUAUAAACUUUGGCUGAGGCACAGAGCAAUCCCAAUAUCAA